rnacentral:lncRNA from 1 species
UGAUGCCUAACCUUCAGGGAAGGCAGAAGAAUUUUCUCCACAACACUGAAGUGCAAAAAAGAGUCAGAAAGACUGAAAGGACAGAAGCCCACAAUGAUGGCUUAGGAGCCCCGGGAGACUUUACUGCAUCCACUGCCAUUGCCUAAGAUGCUGAAAACGACGUAAUGUGGCAGCUCAUUCAAGCUUCUCUGCCAUGAUGGACUACACCCUGUGAGACAGGUAAGUCUUU